rnacentral:rRNA from 1 species
CAGCCGCCGCGGUAAUACCGGCGGCCCGAGUGGCGGUCACUAUUAUUGGGCUUAAAGCGUCCGUAGCCGGGUUGGGAAGUCCUCCGGGAAAUCUGGCCGCUUAACGGUCAGAAUGCCGGAGGAUACUCCCAGCCUAGGGAGCGGGAGAGGCCGAGGGGAUUCCCGGAGUAGGGGGGAAAUCCUAUAAUCCCGGGAGGUCCACCUGUGGCGAAGGCGCUCGGCUGGAACGCGUCCGACGGUGAGGGACGAAGGCCAGGGGAGCAAACCGGAUUAGAUACCCGGGUAGUCCUGGCUGUAAACGAUGCGGACUUUGUGUCGGACAAGCUAUGAGCUUGUCCGGUGCCGGAGGGAAACCGUUAAGUCCGCCGCCUGGGGAGUACGGCCGCAAGGCUGAAACUUAAAGGAAUUGGCGGG